UACGUAGGGUGCAAGCGUUUAAUCGGAAUUACUGGGCGUAAAGCGUGCGCAGGCGGUUUUGUAAGUCUGUCGUGAAAUCCCCGGGCUCAACCUGGGAAUUGCGAUGGAGACUGCAAGGCUAGAAUCUGGCAGAGGGGGGGUAGAAUUCCACGUGUAGCAGUGAAAUGCGUAGAGAUGUGGAGGAACACCGAUGGCGAAGGCAGCCCCCUGGGUCAAGAUUGACGCUCAUGCACGAAAGCGUGGGGGAGCAAACAGGG
rnacentral:rRNA from 1 species